GCGGGCGUGGCGGAACGGCAGACGCGCUGGACUUAGGAUCCAGUGGGUUAAUCCCCGUGAAGGUUCAAGUCCUUUCGCCCGCACCA
rnacentral:tRNA from 2 species